UACAGAGGUCUCAAGCGUUGUUCGGAUUCAUUGGGCGUAAAGGGUGCGUAGGUGGCGGGGUAAGUCGGAUGUGAAAUCUCAGGGCUCAACCCUGAAACUGCAUUCGAUACUUCCGAGCUGGAGGUAGGUAGGGGAGAUCGGAAUUCCUGGUGUAGCGGUGAAAUGCGCAGAUAUCAGGAGGAACACCGGUGGCGAAGGCGGAUCUCUGGGCCUUACCUGACGCUGAGGCGCGAAAGCUAGGGGAGCGAACAGG
rnacentral:rRNA from 1 species